AGCAAUAUUUUUUUAAUUAAAUAAAUGCUCGAUAAGGGAAUAUGAAUAUAUUUUGUUUCUUUUUUUUAUUUUCUUUUCAUUCAAUUAAUGUAAUUUCAUUUCCAGAUUAUUGUGACGUGCAAUAUGAUCGAUAGAAUCAGUGUUUGUUUCAUAUUUCCAAAUCUUCACUCAUGAUUCAUGAUUUCUUCAUGAUGUAUGAACUACAAUGGGAAUGCAGAUUCUUCGCAUCUAAUGGUGAGUUAUAUACAUUUUGGUUCUUUUGGAUCACUCAAUCAUGUCGAAGGAUGAAAGGUCCAAAUCGACACGAGUGAUUGGUUGUAUAUAUAGAAUUUUGCACGAGCACACUUUGUUUUAUUUAUUGGAUCAGGAUAGGUUUUCUUGCACAUUAUAUUUUUUUAGAAAAAUGAUAUUGAAUAUGAUAUAAUUUAAUAAAUAUAAAUAUAUUUUCUAUUUUUUUGUACAAAAAUUAAAUUCUAUAUGCAAGAAAACAUUUCGCGACAGAUAGAUUUCUGAAUCAGCAAUGAGUUUUGAACUUAUUUUUAAUUGAUUUUACAUUUAUAAAAUAUAAAUGCUUUGAUGAUGAAUUCAUUAUUUUAUUUAGAGUCUUUUUUUUAUUUCUUAUUAUUUAUAAUCAUAAAUAAAUUUAUAUUAACAUUAAUUUUCAUAUAGUAAUUAAAUUUCAAUUAUUAUCUUUCUUUAUUUAUCAUUAUCUAAUUCAUUAAAUUCGUAAAGUAGAUUAUUAAAAUUGGAGAUAAAAUAAAAUAAAAUUUUAUGUAAAUAAAAUCAACGAGUAUUAAUCCGUUAGAUACAAAAUAUUUAUACUAUAAUCUGUCUUCUUAAUUUAGGAUUUUCAGGAUUUAAUCCUUUCCAUGCUCAUUGCUAGGAUCUUACUCACGUGCUCAGAUGCUACGUGAGUGAGAAAGAGAGAGAUGAUGGGUAUGAUAAUCUUAGUUCUUAAGCUGAUGAAAACUUCAGCGACUGACGACGGGUUAAUGUAUUAUGCACGACGUACUUUCCACAUUGUGUCUAUGUAUGUGUGUAGUUAGGCUGUGGAAUCGUUUCCAUUAUUAUUUCCUUAACUAUUAUUAAUUCAAUUAUAAUUUACAAUCAAAACGUUACAAUUAAACAUUGCGGAUAUAAGAAGGAAUUUAUCGAUUUUUAACCUCAAAUUACACCAAUGCCACAAUUUGCAUUUAAUGCUAUUAUUGUUCUAGAAAACUUACUCGUAUUCGUUUGAUCAUUACAAUGAAAAUUUAGGUGCACGCGAAUUUCAUCAUGUUUCACGCAAUGGUCGCUAAUUAAUCGUCAGUCGAUUUCAGGUAAAUGGUACAGUUAGAGUGUAAAUAUAGUGUGCCAAGCUUGGGUAUCGGAGGCGUUCCGAAACGCUUUCUUUAUUGUUGGUUUCUGCGCCCGAGUGUUAUACGUGAGAGUAGAGUGAAUGUGUUGGUGUCCAUGUUGCCACUUUUUUUAAAUACAGGGUCUAGGUAGAAUAGAUAGCAUACUUCUGGCGUGCCUGUUUGUAGUUGUAAGUAGAUAGGGCCGAAUUGUCACAGCUUUGUAAGCGAGUAGACGCGUUUUCGCGUAGCAAUCUGUUUCAGAAAAUCAAAAUUUGAAAAAUGAAAGGUGAAACCGAGACUAAUGUCACUCGAUCUCUGGUUUUGUUUAUCGAUUUUUCGAAUUCCGCGAUCGCAGUCUCGAAACAGGUUUCGAAACGAACGUUGUGCUAGGAAAUCUCGAGCCUAGAUUUAAAUUUCAGCGGGCAUCGCGCCUGAAGAAGGAAGACCGAAGAACUGCAACGAAUGGUUUCUCAUUUUUUUGGAUCUUCUUUGAAAAAUCAUUAUUAUCAGUUACUAAAACAUUUGUGCUCGUUUUAGUAAUUUUUAUGAUGUCUGGCUGGAUUUGGAAGUAAGUAAAUUCUAUAGAAUUUUACUAAUUCUUUAUAGUUUAAUUUGUUUCAGAAAUUACUGUGGAAUCAAAAUCACCAAUGAAGACUUAUAUUUCAUGUAUCUUUUUUUUUUAUUGUAGUCAGAUUUUUAAUUAAAUAGGAUCUGAAAACAAAUUUUUAAAUUUUUAUAUGAAUAGAUUAUCAUUUUAGAUUGUAUUUGAUGUAUAUGCGUAUUACUUAAAUUAUAGAAUGGUAGAUGGCAUUAUAUGAAAUUAUAAUGAUUGAGAUCGAUAUACAAAUUUCCGAAAGAUGUCACGUGUGUUCUAUUUCUCAUUGAGUGAAAUGGUUGGUUAUUUUUCAAUCGAUAUUUUAGAAUAUGAAGCAAAGACUAGAAGUGACAUCUUGCGACAGAACUUGGUGUCAUUCUAGUGUUCUGAAAUAUCGAUGGCAAUAAAAAUCAGUUUCUUACGCCCUCUAGUAUAUUAUA
rnacentral:lncRNA from 1 species